CUCUUUCUGUUCUUAUCUUUUCAGAUUGGUGACUGCCUACGUUUGGAUUGAACGAAAGGUAAGAUUGAGACCUGAUAUUUUCUUUUUCUGUAGGGGUACCCUCAACUAGGUCCACACUUUGGUCAGAUUGUUGGAUACGAUAUUAUUUCAAAUGCAUUUAGAUGUGUUUGAUCGUGUCUCCCCCUUCCAGACUCUAACGUCGUAAAUCGAUGACUGACAGCUCUGCGACCUUGUGUACAACACUCUUCUGCCUUGUGCCAUAGUUGCGUAUGGGAAUAUAAAGGAAGAGUGCACAAAUGGUCAAGGACAGUCACAACGUGACUGCUCAGGAAUCGUAGACAUAUUGUUAGAGUCGGUAAAUCUGGGAUGCUUCCGUUCGUAAUCCAACGAAUUCUUUCUGACCGCUGCUGUUGGUGUCUAGGCGAGUGGCCUCCUAUGGUUGCAAGAAAAAAAUUUUCCAUGGUCUCAAUAAUCAAAAGACAUCUAGAGAAGUUACUCAAAUUGGAUAUUGCAUUCACAAAAAGACAUUUAUUACCUACAUGCGACUUAAUUUGCCUCUCCUGUGAAACCAGGAAAUUAUAUUUGAUGGUAAGUUCGAUUAAUCCUGUUCUCCUUUUUCUUUCUCCAGCAGGUGUACCAUCGACUAGACCUUCAGCUUUUGUCAGAAUGUCGGAUACGAUGUUGUGCAAAUGCACUGACGUGUAUUUGUUCUUUUUGUCUUUUGGCUUCCAGACUCUAGUGUCGUAAGUCGGGUGAAGGACGGAUCUGCGACCUCGUGUACAACAGUUCCCUGGCCCGUGCCAAAGAGCGAACGGCUACUGCUUCACCGCGAAAGGGGAAUUGCACUAAUGGUCAAAGACAGUCACCAGUUGACUGCUCCGGAUGCGCAGACAUCAACUAGAGUCGGUAAACCCAGAGUGCUUUAAUUCGUACUCUGACUUCACAAUUCUGACAUCUGCUGUUAGAGCCUAGAAGAUUGGACUCCUGUUCGGAUGGAAAAAAAAACAGGGUUCCGAACUUCAUCAAAUGUUCUAGCCGAUACUUGUGGUGGGACUACGGUCGGCGCUUUAGAAAUGAACGUAAGUUGUAGUUUUAAUUCUAUUUCGUAGUUUUCGUAAUUUUGCUCUGGAAAAUGAGAAAAAUUAUGAGAACCCUAUUUAUUUAUAAACUUAAAUUUCAUAAUUUAUAACCAAAAUUUAGCUAAAAAAAACUUUGUAAGUAUGGCUUGGGAUGGACAUUUCAAAUUUAAUUUUAUUUUUAAGUUGUUCAUUUUUAUUCGUAUUUUUCUAUUUCGCCAAUAAUCCUACAUAAUGAUAUUUCACUAAUUCAUAUAUUUUUUCUUUUCCUUUAUGACUCAAAAAACUGGAGAAAUUGGGUUCAACCCUUACCCAUUCACACAACUACACAUCACUCAGGAAGGAAAAGCUGUCCUACAGCUUGUUAAAAAAUUCGGGAAUACUAAAAGGACAUUUCGUAAGUAGAAAUUCAGGUACUACUACUACUAACUAUUCAAUUGGAUCUUCCGGAACUCUUUGAAAAUUCAGGUGAGUAUUGGAAAAAUUUAAACUUAAGGUAACUUUAAGUUAAGUUAAGAUAGAAUUAAGAGAUAAAUUUUAAAUAUUUCCUGUGCAUACGUAGCGGAUUAGUAUUUCAUUUUGAGAUCUCCGCUUUAUUUUAAAACUGAA